AGAGUUUGAUCCUGGCUCAGAACGAACGCUGGCGGCGUGGAUAAGACAUGCAAGUCGAGCGCUGAUUUCAGGGUAGCAAUAUUCUGAAGUUGGAGCGGCGCAAGGGUGCGUAACACGUGGGUAAUCCGCCGUGAAGGCUGGAAUAACUUGCUGAAAGGCGAGCUAAUACCGGAUGUGAAAAUCGGGAGGCAUCUUUUGAUUUUCAAAGUUGGGGACCGUAAGGCCUGACGCUUCACGAUGAACCCGCGGCCUAUCAGCUAGUUGGUGAGGUAACGGCUCACCAAGGCUAAGACGGGUAGCUGGUCUGAGAGGACGACCAGCCACACUGGAACUGAGACACGGUCCAGACACCUACGGGUGGCAGCAGUCGAGAAUUUUUCACAAUGGGCGAAAGCCUGAUGGAGCGACGCCGCGUGGGGGAUGAAUGGCUUCGGCCCGUAAACCCCUGUCAUUCGCGAACAAUGCCUGCGUGUUAACACCACGCAGGUGAUAGUAGCGAAGAGAAGACCA
rnacentral:rRNA from 1 species